rnacentral:rRNA from 1 species
CCUACGGGUGGCAGCAGUGAGGAAUAUUGGUCAAUGGAGGAAACUCUGAACCAGCCAAGUCGCGUGAAGGAUGACGGCCCUACGGGUUGUAAACUGCUUUUAUCGGGGGGUAAAGCGAGUCACGUGUGACUUAUUGAGGGUACCCGAUGAAAAAGCAUCGGCUAAUUCCGUGCCAGCAGCCGCGGUAAUACGGAGGAUUCGGGCGUUAUCCGGAUUUAUUGGGUUUAAAGGGAGCGCAGGCCGGACGUUAAGCUGGUGGUUAAAUGCCGGGGGUCAACCGCGGCACUGCCUGGGAAACGGGAUGCAUUGAGUGCGCGAGAGGUAGGCGGAAUGCGUGGUGUAGCGGUGAAAUGCAUAGAUAUCACGAAGAACUCCGAUUGCGAAGGCAGCAUACCGGAGCGUAACUGACGCUGAUGCACGAAAGCGUGGGUAUCGAACAGGAUUAGAUACCCCGGUAGUC